rnacentral:lncRNA from 1 species
CUGGAGGCCUUCAGGCAGGCCAGGCACCCUCCACACCCCACCUACCACAUGCUCGAGAGCUGCACAGGGUCACUGACCUGCUUGAUCAUUGUACAUGUUGUGUUGGGUGCCGCCUGAUCAUACCAUGCUGUGAACAAGAAGCAUUCAUGCAGGCAUUCAACUGGCCCUGACGGAAUAUGCCUCAUGCUAGUAAAUAAUGUACUAGAGCCUAGCAGAAUAAUGAGUCAAGGGAGAUGUUGCCACAGCCCCGGGGUCAGUUCUGCACAGAGAUAAGCUACAUUCAGAGGUGAGCAAAGUCUAGAUUGAGAGGGAACAAUUGAUGUAAAGCUGUGGGUCUCAGAGCCCUGGAAAAAGCCAGCUCUGGGACUCCUGGACAGCCAAACAUCUGAGCAGAUUCCGCUUCCCUGGUUACCCAGACUGACCCCCACCCCUCAGAGCCCCACAGCAAUCUCACAGCUUCAAGCAGCUGGACUAUAGCAGGGGUCGCUGGCAUGGACAGUUACCCAUGGAUCCACCCCCUGUACCCUUGGAGCUGUGACACCAGGGCUCUCUCUGCAGGGAGCUUGGCACUGUGCAAAGAGGCUGCAGCCAGAAAGGGAAGAACAGGGGCGGUGGGGGGAGGAGAAGUCCAGCCUCACAGUGAGGUGCAGCACAGAGUAGCUUUGGAGACUGGCGACAGAUGAGGCCUCACUCUGACUUGGCUCAUGUUUGUGCUUGCCUUGCAGCACGAUCGACCCACAGUGACUGAGAACCCCAGGUGUCAGGCCUGAGCUCCAAGGCACUGAGGGUAAAGGGUGGGUCAGGCAUGGGCCCUGUCCUCUGAGAGUCCCCAGCCUGCUGUGGGAUGCAGGGUGGAUGACUUUCAUGCCUCCUAGAGCCAACCAAGGUGCCCAGGGAGAGGCUGCGACAGGGCGCUCGUGUGCUCAAUGGAUGGAGAAAUCCCCACAGUCUGGGAGGAGCCGAGAGAGGCGAUGAUGCUGAGGUGGCCUUCAGGUGGCCUUUACGGAAAAGGAAGGGCUUUUCUGGGCCUGGGUUUUUAUGACCCAUGUGAUCUGGGCCACACAUGCAACCCUUUACUGCUUAAAAGCCAAUCACUGCCAGUCACAAAAGGAUGAAAUGUGAAUGAUUCCACUCAUCUGAGGAACCUGGAGCAGUCACAUUCAUAGACCAGGAGGAGCACGGCAGCGGCCAGGGGCUAGGUGGGUGGAAUGGGAGUUGUGUCGAAUGGGUGCAGUUUCAAUUUGGGAAGACGGACAGAGCUCUGGGGAUGGACUUUCGUGAUGGUAGCACAACAUCAUGAAUGGACUGCGUGCUACUGAACUGACAAGUGGUUAGGAUGAUCCUAUUCAUCAGUCAAGACCUGAUGCCACAUCUCCCAAGCAGCCGUCCCUGGUGCCCUUGCUUGGAAAUUGCUGCGCCGUUCAUGGAGCCUAACACUGUGUUCGAGACCAGCAUCAGGGCAGUCACCACAGACCAACCCAUAUUCAGCUUUUAUAACAUGAUUUAAUUCCCACAGCCACCCAGUGGGGAGGGAUGACUAUUACUACCACUGGAUGAAUGAGGAAACUGAGGCCUGGGGUGUUGAAUAACUUCAUUGAGGUCACACAGCACUAGACCACGGAGCAAGUAUUGGCAAAGGACUUCCAUGAUGCGGGGCUUGAUCCAGAACCCUGUCAGAAGGGGCCCCCGGCAGAAUGGCCUCUGUACCAUGACAGAAACUCUAAAUGUCUCAACUGCAUCACUGUCAUGGACUUUGGCCCACCUCAGACUUCAACUGCAGUGGUGGGGGGCAGUUCCAUGAGAGCUCAGGCUCAGCUGAGCUGACAGCAUCCUGGCUCAGGUGUGGCCCUCUUUCUGCUCUAGAGAUUCUUGUCCAUCUUGGGAGCCGUCUCCUCCACCCCCACUAUUCCCACCUUACCCAAAAGCAUGGGAGAGUCCAGGCCUCCCAUCCUUUGACCAAAGGGAAGUAGGAGCCAUUACAUGGUGUUUGCCUCCUGUCCUGCAGUUCUAGGAGGCCUCUGCACACCUCUGUGGAGCUGAGCCCUGGUUGCCCUCAACAGCUACCUGGUGACCCCUACCCCUGUGACCACACUUUGCCUGCUUCCCCAACUCCCUCUCUCUCUCACUCCUUCUUGGCAUCACCUCCACAAAAACAUACCCGCACCCAAACCAGUGUCUCAAGCUGUGCUUCUUGGAGGUGGGGUGAGGGGAAUCUUCCAAGAACUCAAAAGCCUAGUAAUUAGGUUUCCCUUUUCACCCACGGGUUACUGGUAACUUCUGAUGUGAGUUAUUAAGGGUCAUGAAAAUUUGGCAUUUGUAAACCAAGAUUAGAGUUAUACCGAAUAUUACGGAGGGCGCCAAUUCAGCUUUGUAUCAAGAAGGCCAGCAACCAUGCAACACUGAAAAGCCCCUACUGUGCGUGACCACUGGCCAGUCGCUGGAAGGGCCACCAUUCUCAGAAAGGAUGCUUUGCGGGCAACACAUCCUCAAGAUGGCCUUGAGUCAGUCAUGGCUUCUUCUGCCUUUUAAACAAUGAAGUGCUAUAAGGUACCAUUAGUUGGGUGACAAAUGAAAGAUGUUCACAAGGUCUUGGACGCUCCUACAUCAAGAAGUGGAGACUAUUUCUGCUCCCUUUGAAUCUGUGCUGACCUGUGACUAUUUUAACCAGCAGUAUGGCAGGACUGACACCAGGCUAGCUUCAGGCUUAGACUUGAAGAGAACUGACAGCUUCUUUUUGGGAUCUUGGAGCCCUCCUGCCUUGCAGAACCUUGCUGGAGACCCCACAUGAAGAGGAGUCAAGACUACUCACGGAGAGAGAGGGGCUCCGUGAGCACUGCCUCCCAACCAUCCAAGGAAGCAGCCUGUGAACAAAGUCGUCUUGCGUCCUCUAGACUAGUCCAGCAUCUGCUGGACCCCAGACAAUACCACAUGAAACCCAGAAGAAUCCCUCAACUCAGUCCUGCCUGAAUUUCUAACCCAGUUCACUGUGAAAUUUCUAAUCCAGUUCAUUGUGAAAUGGAAUAACACAAUGGUCAUUGUUUUAAGCCACUGUGCUUUGGGGUCGUUUGUUACACAGCAAUAGAUGCUCGAAACCGUUUUGCCUUACCACUGUUGAUUUAGUUUGUGGUGCACGGCAAUGUACAUUUGCAUCAACAGAAUUGGGGGCAAUAAUUAUGGAUAUAGAUAUAGGUAUAGAUAUAGAUACACACAUAGACUUUCAGUUCAAAUGAAUCAUCCAUACCCUCUUGCUGAAGUAGCUGGAAAACUCAUCCCAAAAAAACAGCUCCUGCAGCAACCUUCAUUGGUCAUAUGCUGCCUGGGAAUCUGUGCUAUUUCUAUAAAUUGCAGUGUAAAUGUAAUCCAAGUCCUAGGCUAUUUUUAAAUUUAUGAAUCGUUUUGUCAUGUGAAGUUGCAUUUAUAAGCCCACUAUUUUUACAUAUAAAUUUAAAUGAUAAGAAACUCAUCAAUAGGAAAGGUAGCGUGGUGUAGAGGUUAGGAGCUGGACUCUAAGGCCAGCUGCUUGUGUUCAAAUCCUAACCCCUGGGUUUCCUCUCUGUGAUGUGAUGAGAACAACGGAAACACUUAACAGAGUCAUAAGACUUAAAUUAGUUGAUAUGUACACGUGCUCAGAACAGCACCUGGCUGAUAAUAAGGCCAAAUAGGCUUAUUGCAACUUGUUUAUUUGUCCUCUCCAAUUUCAUAUUGUCAUCUAGUUCUUUCUUCACCAAAAGACGGGAGCAUCAUAGAAGGAGGAAUGAGAGGUUGGCCCUAGAGUGUUUAACAUAGACUUAGCCCAUAGAUGGCCUUCUGUAAAUCUCUGUGGAAUUGAUUGACAGUUACCCAAUAAAUAUACACUUUUCCUAGACAUCUAACAUCGUUUAAACAAUUUCUUGGCCAGGCUUGGUGGCUCAUGCCUGUAAUCCUAGCACUUUGGGAGGCCGAGGAGGGUGGAUCACCUGAGGUCUGGACCUCAGGUUGAGACCAGCCUGACCAACAUGGAGAAUCCCUGUCUCUACUAAAAAUAUAAAAAUUAGCAGGGUGUGGCAGUGCAUGCCUGUAAUCCCAGCUACUCAGGAGGCUGAGGCAGGAGAAUCGCUUGAACCUGGAAGGCUGAGGUUGCGGUGAGCCAAGAUCACGCCACUGCACUCCUCCAGCCUGGGCAACAAGAGCAAAACUCAGUCUCAAAAAAAAAAUAAAAUAAAUCUUCAGUACAGAUCACUGCAAACCAUCAAGCACAUGGUGGUUUGGGCCCAGAGAACAAAUGUGUCACACCCACCUGCGCCCGAUGCCUUCUGCUCCAGCCUCCUUGCUGCCGUCCACGUUGAAGUUAUCCAUUGAUGUACUCAGCAGGCCUCCUGCAGCACCCUGAAGCCUGGAUACAAACAACUCGUUUUCUGAGCAUGACAAUCUCUGAAUCCAAAUGAGAGGCUUAGACCGGGCCUGGUGUGCAGGACUCAAAUUGGCCAUUUGCACAAACUUAUCAUGGUCUGAAUUUGGGGAGAAAAACAUAGACAUACACACACACAAGAAUGAUGCUGGAUCCAUUGCUCUGGUGGUUGUAACAUAUCACUGGGCCCCCGCUCUCCUCCUCCUUUCUUUUUCUGCUGCUAUUUUGUCUCCUGUGAUUAUCCCUGGGAAUGCAAGGUCUCCUAAUUAGCACUUGCUAAUGAAAGAAACCUCAGAAACAGAAGAAGGAAGAGACGAGAUGCUCUCUCUCCCCUUGCAGCUGACAGGACGCAGAGCCAAAGAGCCUGUUUAAAUGGGUGCUAACCCUAGAGUAUUUGCGGGUGUGUCGGGCUCCGGCCGAGCCUCCUGCGAAAUCAGCUGCCCCAUCCCCUUCUGCUUUCUGCUUUUACAGAUCUGUCCUCCCAAACAUUCUUGUAGCAAAUGUGCCUCCAAAUCUCCUGGGAUCCCAAGAUUAGGCUCUGCUCUGUGGAGUAUAACCUUUAAUCUCUACACAGCGUAGUUUGCCCUGGUAAUCAUAUUUAAUACAAGGUCCUAUUUCCUGAAAUAUAAUAUGAGAUGUGUUGGGUUCCCCCCAGCUUUGACACUUGCCUUUCUCCUUCCAUGCAGAAAUGUUUAAUAAAUAACUUUGAUGAAGUCUUGAACUUAAGACCAUGGAUGUGAUUAACUCCCCACUUCACUAUUCACAUUGAUCAUAAAAAAAAUGGGAUUUGAAAAAUAGAGCUUUUAAGUUAAUGAGGCUUUACAUAAAGCCAAGUUAGUAUUUUAAGACAGGAAAAUGAUGACUACAUUCUGACCAUCUGCGCCUUGCUAAAACCAAGAAGGAAAGAACGGUCAGACACAUGGUAGUGGUGUGGCUCCUGGUUUCUCUGUGUGUGUAUGUGUGUGUGUGUGUGCACAUGCACUUCUAGAGCCUGGUGAAGUGCCUCCAUUUCAAGGAUAUCCAUGGGCAUAUAUUUCUUCAAACAGACCCCCCUCUCUUCUCUACAAUGGUGUCUGGUUCCCUGCCAGGGCUGUGCUUACUGAAAAAGCCAGCCUUUUAAAAAAAAACUUUUUGAGAAUUUUCUGCAUGCAUGAGGCACUAUGGUACCAUCACUCACAUACAGUAGGCAAAAAGCAAUGAAGGAAUAUAAGUAAAUUAAAUGUGAC